GUCUUAAGCAUGCAAGUCGAACGGCAGCAUGAUAGAGCUUGCUCUAUUGAUGGCGAGUGGCGGACGGGUGAGUAACGCGUAGGAAUCUACCUACAGGACUGGGAUAGCUAAGGGAAACUUUAGGUAAUACCGGAUGAUAUCGAGAGAUCAAAGGGGCUUUACGGCCUUGCCUAUAGAUGAGCCUGCGUACCAUCAGCUAGUUGGUUAGGUAAUAGCUGACCAAGGCUAAGACGGUUAGCCGGCUUGAGAGAGUGGCCGGCCACAAGGGUACUGAGACACGGACCCUACUCCUACGGGAGGCAGCAGCCAAGAAUAUUCCGCAAUGGGGGAAACCCUGACGGAGCGACACUGCGUGAAUGAUGAAGGCCUUCGGGUUGUAAAGUUCUUUUAUAAAGGAAGAAUAAGUUGGGUAGGAAAUGAUUCAAUGAUGACGGUACUUUAUGAAUAAGUCCCGGCUAAUUACGUCCAGCAGCCGCGGUAA
rnacentral:rRNA from 1 species